GGAAUUAAUAAGAUGUUAAUCAACACACGUGGAAUUCACACGACAAAACUUAAUGAUAUAUUUUUUUUACGAACGUUGGAAACAUUUUUCUAAUGAUUUUUUACGUUUAUGUUUUGUCACGAAUUUCAUAACGAAGUUUCGAUCAGCUUAUCAUUUGUUAAUGCACCAUUAGAACCAGUUGCGCGUUCAUAUUGGCGAUAACUAUAAUCUUUGUACUACUGCUACAAGUACGGAAGCUGAAUAUUGUCUAUUCAUGAUGGCUGGUGAUAUAUCACCACAGGAAUUCUAAAGACCAGUUUCUCACAAACAUCAAUACCUGUAUUAUGUAAAUUUAAAAAAAAUAUGGAAAAUUAUGUAGAAUAUCAAACAAUACUUAAAAACUACUAAUAGGACUAUGGCAAGGAUUUUCACGAAUAUUAAGUAUUUUAUCAGGAGUUCUAUACAAGCUAAAAUUGAAAUCAAAAUAAGGAUGUCAAAUUGUAGAUCUUUUAGCCGACGGUGAACAUACAGAUUUCAGCAGAAAAUAUCAGCAAACGCCGAAAUACCUGGGCCAAUAAAAGUAAAACGGGUACUGAAUUUCAAGUCGACAAGUUGACAACAACCAUUACAGCUCUUCCACAGGGAUUUUACAAAAUUUUUAGUAUUUCCUUAAGUCUCUUUGUUUAGCAGACUUAUAUGUAAGGAAAUAGCUAAAAGGUACGUCGAAAUCACAGGAGACCGAAGAGCUGACAGUUAGCUGGGACAAAGAAUUAGUCCAGCUAAUCAAAGGGGGAACGCUACCAGUAUCUUCGAAACCUUGCCUAAAUGGACUGCUUUUAAUAAAAUAUUUUAGUUAUUA